UGAAAUCGCCAACAGUAAUUUGCAUGC
rnacentral:piRNA from 1 species